rnacentral:rRNA from 1 species
UACGUAGGGGGCAAGCGUUGUCCGGAAUCAUUGGGCGUAAAGAGCGUGUAGGCGGCUUGGUAAGUCCGCUGUGAAAGUCCAGGGCUCAACCCUGGGAUGCCGGUGGAAACUGUCGGGCUAGAGUCCGGGAGAGGCGAGUGGAAUUCCUGGUGUAGCGGUGAAAUGCGCAGAUAUCAGGAGGAACACCAAUGGCGAAGGCAGCUCGCUGGAACGGUACUGACGCUGAGACGCGAAAGCGUGGGGAGCAAACAGG